UUAGAGGAAGUAAAAGUCGUAACAAGGUUUCCGUAGGUGAACCUGCGGAAGGAUCAUUAAUGAAUAAAUUGGAACAGGUUGUAGCUGGCCCCCUCUCAGGGGGGCAUUGUGCACAUCUGGUUCAUCCACUCUUUAACCUCUGUGCACUUAUUUGUAGGUUGGUGGACAAGCAAGUCUUUUGAUUUGUUUAGAAACCUUCCUAUGUUUUUGCUACAAACGCUUUAGUCUAAGAAUGUAUACCUUGCGUAUAACGCAUUUAUAUACAACUUUCAGCAACGGAUCUCUUGGCUCUCGCAUCGAUGAAGAACGCAGCGAAAUGCGAUAAGUAAUGUGAAUUGCAGAAUUCAGUGAAUCAUCGAAUCUUUGAACGCACCUUGCGCUCUCUGGUAUUCCGGAGAGCAUGCCUGUUUGAGUGUCGUGGUAUUCUCUCAACCUUGAUAACUUUCUUUGUUAUUGAAGGCUUGGAUUUGGAGGCUGUGCUGGCUGGUCACUCAGUCAGCUUCUCUAAAAUGCAUUAGCAUAAGUGUGACAGACCACUUCGGUGUGAUAAAUUAUUUGCGCCGUGGUUGUGAAGUAACAUCUAGCUUGUGCUUCUAAUUGUCCUUCAGUUGGACAACUGACUUUUGACAUUUUGACCUCAAAUCAGGUAGGACUACCCGCUGAACUUAAGCAUAUCAAUAA
rnacentral:rRNA from 1 species